AUUGUAACGGAAAAGAGAACUGUAACUACAUUGUCAGUUUGUGCGUGUGCGCGCUAGUUAAGAGUGUUCUUCUCCAUCAUGACUGAUAUUUUCUAUACCAUCAAACCAAAACAAGCGGAUUUGAAGAUUCCUGUUGAGAGUGCUAGUGUUCUGUUGGCAUUCAUCUGAGCAGUCCAAUCACAUUGGUUAUGUAACAUGACGUUUCUGAGCAGCUAUGGCCCAGUAUCAGAGAAAAUGUCCCCCCUAAAGACAGAUGAUUAGGAUUUAUUAACUGACAGUUCUGCUCUCACCAAGCCAGAGUGAUUGGUGUAUUUUUAGACUGCCUGUGGUGCAUACGAGGACACAGUGGAAACAGUUGUCAUCCUCUUUCUAGGCCAUUUGAAUUAUGUCCAUCAACUUGGCUAACCGGACCUCCACAAUAAGUUGGGAGUUCACAAAACAAGUUUUGGCAAAGAUUUCAACAUGUUUUGGAAAACAGACAAGGUUUCGAGUGGGGUGCAAUCAUGCUUUGAAGGUGUCCUUUCAGAAAUGUAUCUUUGAUCAAAGGAAGAAAAGGGCAUUUGCUCUAGAAACUUUCUGUCCAAAGAAUAUUUCUUAUUUGUAUGAGCCAAAGUUUUUUUUUUUUUUUCUACAAGAUGGUAUUUUGUUUUACCAUUGAAAACACAAGCACUGCAGUGGUCAGGCAGUGUCUCCUUCACGAGGUGUGACUUUUGAUUACAAUGUACAGAAAAACAGUGUUUGCACAGUGGAAUAAUACUACAGGAACGUGUGUGAGAAUGUUAGCUAUGUUCUCAGAUGGUCUAGAUAAGUGCAAGAUGGCUUUGUUGGAAGUUGUAGGCUAAUAGAUUCCGGCAGAAAGAAAGCUGAAGUGUGUGUGUGUGUGUGUGUGUGUGUCAGUUUAGUUUUUGAGGCCAUUUCUGCAACUGACAAAGAUCUCACAGGAACACUAAUACAGAACUAAUAACACUUUGUCACAGUUGAAGGAUCAUGACCGAAUUCAUUUGACGAUCAAGCAUGUAGCUAUACUACAAAGGCAUUCAAUUAUAACACAUUUCCCUCCAGACCAUAACAAUCAAAUCUUUAGAGAGCAUUUUGAUUUGAUUGCGCAAUUCCAGACUGCUUAUGCAUUCAGGUGUGAAACUUUAAGAUUCAAAAACAAAAAAACUAAACAAAAGCGUGGUUCUCAUAUGCAGUAAGUUUAAGCCAAUGAAAAGGUGUACACAAUUUCACAAAAACUGGUGUAUGCAGGUGUUUUAUUGCACUUUGUAAUUGUUUUCCUUUUUGUUUGUUUUUUUCCUUCACAAGCCUUUUUGUUUUGUUUGAAAUGACCCUGAGGUUAAUUCUCUUGCAUGUAUUUUAAAGCAACGUAACCAAUUAUACUCCUUUACUAUAUGAAAAUGGAUCAGAUGCAUUAGAGAGCUAGUAAACGCUAAGCAGCCUUCCAUUGGCCCCCGUUGAACCCAUUAACUGCAUGGUUCUCCUCACUCUCCUUGAUGUUUGUCUGUCUGUACAGGCUACAGAUCCUCCUGGGCUGGACCCACUGAAGGCCCAUUGGAAUUAUCUAUGUCAUUUUUGUGGUUAAUGCUUUUAAACUUUUUUUUUUUUUUUUUUUUUUUUCAUUCAAUGAGCAGCAACUGGGACUAUAUACAGAUGUUGGACUUGAAGCAUCUUUUCUAUGACACACACAAAAAAAAAGACGAAAUGGGAAAAGAAAUCGACAACUUUCAUACUUCAGUUUCAAAAUGUUUUACUUGAAUUUCAUGGCUCAGAACCACCCUUGUAUGUCAAGAACAGAGCGGUUGUUGCCAUGUUGUGUAGCACUGAAGGUUGGCUUGCAUAGGCAGUUUCAUACCGAUUGUGAAUGUUGAAAUCUUUUAGGUCGUUUGAGUCGCACUAUGGUUAGAAACACUAAUGUGUGCCCAUUUGGGCCCUAUUUUGAAGUAAAACAAAUAUUAAAACAAAUACACAUUUGAUGUAUUUGAGGACUUUCAGAAGGUGAUGUUGAAAAGCAAGGUCGAUAUGGCUUCUGUGCUAUACUGAAAUGUUUUCAGUGGUUACAUUUCUGCAUCAUUCUGAAGAGUACUUGUACUUUUAUUAGCCAUUUACAUCUUAAAUUCUAUUUUCAUACAUUAUAAUUAUAAUAUUAUUAUCACCAUCGCUACUAUGAAUAUAUUACGGGCCAAAUACUCUUACAUACAUUCAUUCUGCAUGGGAUUUGAAUAAGAAAGCCCUAUUAUUUGGUUCAUUUUUCCGUACCUAUUAAAAGAUGUUUGGCCUAAGACUGCACUCUAGUAACCCUAUAUUACAUCUAAAUUACUAACCCAUAACAGACCCCCAUUUUCAUUUAUGUACUUUCAUUGUGCACCACAGUUAAAUUGCUUUGUACCCUGUAUGUCUUCAGUAUUUUGAGUGUUAUGUGACUAUGUACAAAUAAACAUAUUUCAG
ensembl:lncRNA